UUAAGAAAAGUAUUUAAAAAUACAACUUAUUCAUGAAAAACUCUCAAAGAAUACUCAUCUAUCCACAAAUAUUCUUGUUAUCCUAAUUUCUAAAUCACAAACCCAAAUCUACAGUAUUUCUCAAAAAAGUGAAAACUUUUGAAAAAUAACACUUUUUAUUAAAAUAAUUUUAAAAUACAACCUAUUGAUGAAAAACUCUGAAAGAAUACUCAUCUAUCCACUAAUAUUCUUGAUAUUCUAAUUUCUAAAUCACAAACCCAAAUCUACAAUGUUUCUCAAAAAAAUGAAAACUUUCCAAAAAUAGCAGCUUUUAUGAAAAUUAUUUAAAAAUACAACAUAUUGAUGAAAAACUCAGAAAGAAUACUCAUCUAUCCACAAAUAUUCUUGUUAUC
rnacentral:lncRNA from 1 species